rnacentral:rRNA from 1 species
AUUGAACGCUGGCGGCAUGCCUCACACAUGCAAGUCGAACGGCAGCACGGGAGCAAUCCUGGUGGCGAGUGGUGAACGGGUGAGUAAUAUAUCGGAACGUGCCCAGUAGUGGGGGAUAACUGCUCGAAAGAGCAGCUAAUACCGCAUACGACCUGAGGGUGAAAGGGGGGGAUCGCAAGACCUCUCGCUAUUGGAGCGGCCGAUAUCAGAUUAGCUAGUUGGUGGGGUAAAGGCCUACCAAGGCAACGAUCUGUAGUCGGUCUGAGAGGACGACCAGCCACACUGGGACUGAGACACGGCCCAGACUCCUACGGGAGGCAGCAGUGGGGAAUUUUGGACAAUGGGCGCAAGCCUGAUCCAGCAAUGCCGCGUGCAGGAAGAAGGCCUUCGGGUUGUAAACUGCUUUUGUCAGGGAAGAAAUCCUCUAGGUUAAUACCCUUGGGGGGAUGACGGUACCUGAAGAAUAAGCACCGGCUAACUACGUGCCAGCCGCCGCAGUAACAC